rnacentral:misc_RNA from 1 species
AAAGUCGUAACAAGGUUUCCGUAGGUGAACCUGCGGAAGGAUCAUUACUGAGUGCGGGCCCUCUGGGUCCAACCUCCCACCCGUGUUUAUCGUACCUAGUUGCUUCGGCGGGCCCGCCUUUCACGGCCGCCGGGGGGCAUCUGCCCCCGGGCCCGCGCCCGCCGAAGACACCCUCGAACGCUGUCUGAAGGUUGCAGUCUGAGCUUGAUUAGCAAAUCAAUCAAAACUUUCAACAACGGAUCUCUUGGUUCCG